AAAGUAAAGUAGAUUUCAUUUAAAUUGGCAUAAUAGGUGGCUAUGGAAUUUCGUAUUUAAGUUUGUAGCCUUGCACAUGUUCCUGUUAUAACAGCUGAUGGGGUUUUUGUUUUUCUUUGAUUACUUACCUACAUUGUUUAUUGAACUGACAUGACUGACAUUUGUAUUCGUUUUUUCAGUGUUUUCGUUGUUUGUUCGUUAUUCCCACUACUUUUUCAAAUUUUAAUUAAAACUAGUUCUCUUCAGAUUUAAAGAAUUUUAGGUUAAUGGAAUCAACUAUACCAAUUUGAAUUAAGCCAAAUUACUUUAUCCUGGGCAAAACACGAUUUUUCAGGCUGCAGUACGCGAAGCUCCAUUUUGUACAGAUUUCUUUUUUCCCCUCCGAUCGCAACAACUUUACCAUUGUUUAAAAAUUUUGUCCUACAUUUUUAAUGACAAAAUCCAAACCCCUUUCGGAUGCAACUUACACGGAAAACAAAUUGUGUUUUAUCUCCGGUGUGAAUAAAACGUCUUUUAAAAUUUCUGGAAGCCACUUAUUAUCAACGAAGUCUGUAUUUUCUACAAAGCAAAUAGUGUAUGUUUUUAGUGUUAAAACUACACCUACAAAGGGAUGAAACAGGAUGUUAAACUUGUUAUCGAAAAAACUCUCUGAAAACUUCUGAAAAAGGGUUCUUUAAAAAUAAAAUUUUAACUAUCUUAACCUCACUUUUUAUAGUGACAAAUUUAGUUCCUUAAUAUGUAAAGCCUUUUUCACAUUUAAAGCGCGGUUUACACAAUCAUGGCCUACUGUUAUGCCAAUUUCAAUGAAAUGGAUUAUAGUUUUUUUUCUUUAGCUUAGGGAAUUCUAGGGAAUUCAAUCAAGCGCUUGACCCCAUCUGGCAUCACUGAAAACAGGGCAUUCUUAGUUUUAUGGGCUGAUUCAUUUAAUCAAUUUUCAAAUGCUUCAUGAAUAAAACACAGGAAAUAGACGCAACAGCUGAAAUCUUUCAGCCUUGAUUGUAAUAGAGUCCACGUGCCCACGUGGAAAUGGAAGUGACGAAAUAACUAAGCGUGUUAAAAUUUCCUAAAUACGAAGGAUACAAUUUUCAAAGCGCUAUUUCGGUACUCCACUACGGUGAAACUCUCAUGGGGCUCCAGAAUAUCAAUAAGAUGGUGUAGGGCCACACUUUGUUCUUCUUUCGUAGCUUUCGCUGUUAUAAUAUCGAGACCUUUGUACACCUACAUGAUUUUUUUUCGAUUAAUUAACAAGACGUUGAACUUGAACUGUGUAAACAUUUUCAGACAUUCAAUAAAGUCAUAAUUUAAGCGAUGA